AGUGAACGCUGGCGGUAGGCCUAACACAUGCAAGUCGAACGGCAGCACAGCAAGAGCUUGCUCUUACGGGUGGCGAGUGGCGGACGGGUGAGGAAUACAUCGGAAUCUACUUUUUCGUGGGGGAUAACGUAGGGAAACUUACGCUAAUACCGCAUACGACCUACGGGUGAAAGCAGGGGAUCUUCUGACCUUGCGCGAUUGAAUGAGCCGAUGUCGGAUUAGCUAGUUGGCGGGGUAAAGGCCCACCAAGGCGACGAUCCGUAGCUGGUCUGAGAGGAUGAUCAGCCACACUGGAACUGAGACACGGUCCAGACUCCUACGGGAGGCAGCAGUGGGGAAUAUUGGACAAUGGGCGCAAGCCUGAUCCAGCCAUACCGCGUGGGUGAAGAAGGCCUUCGGGUUGUAAAGCCCUUUUGUUGGGAAAGAAAAGCAGCAGGUUAAUACCCCGCUGUUCUGACGGUACCCACAGAAUAAGCACCGGCUAACUUCGUG
rnacentral:rRNA from 1 species